UUUCAGACUUUAGAAGCUGCCGAGGCGGCCGUCAAGACACUCUUGGGAGCUGACAUGCGAACAGCAGCGGAGAAGCAGGCAGCUGGAAACCGCCCACCUUCGGAGAGUGAACGUUUUUGGGUGGAGAUACAGCAUGCCAAAGCCCCCGCAGCCCCAGUGAAAGCAAAGCCUUCUC
rnacentral:SRP_RNA from 1 species